GGAUGAUUGCUUGAACCUGGGAGAUGGAGGUUGCAGUGAGCUGCGAUUGCGCCACUGCACCCCAGCCUGGGCAAUAGAGU
ensembl:miRNA